rnacentral:lncRNA from 1 species
CGGAAUUUUUAACGGCGCUAACUGUACACCUUAGUGACGUCAUUGGGUACAUGUCAACAAGUUACAGCCGCCAUUUUUUUAAAACUCGAUGCAACCUUUGGUUUGAAUUGCCAUUUUCCAAAAGAAUUAUCGAGAUGUGAACAAAAUUCAGAUUCUAGUUUCAUGGUAUGUGCCUACAAGAUGGAUUGGUUGGAAACAAGUACAUUCAUGUUGCUGAAGAUCUUUUCAAGUUUGAUUACAAUGUAGACCUAUGGUGUGUAAAUGAAUUCCAAUUCACUGACAGUGUUUGUUUGGAUCCUGCUAUUUAUAUCAUCUGGUAAUUGGUCUUAAAUUGAUCACAUUAAGCUUGAUUUCACUUUUCAAAUAUUUCUGUUUCAUGUUAUUUUUUAUUUCAGUAUUUAUACAGAACC